rnacentral:lncRNA from 1 species
GCCCAAUUGCUGCAUCUUUUGCAAAGCAGUGCUUGUAUGGAAAUAAUACAAAUGACUGUACAUGGGAGGUGAGUGGAAGAGCUUUCCAUAGUACUGGGAAUUUAAGCUGAUUCAGAUACUUCAAAAUCUAUGGGCUAUAUAAAGCUUUUCACUAAGGGACUAUUGAGAGAAACCAUUGGAAAACUCAUUUGAGAGUUUAGCAUAUGAAACUAGAAGUUCAAAUAUAUGGUGUGACACUGUGUUAUUUGUUCAAUAAACCAAUAUUUUAUGGGCAUUCUUUAUACAGAGACUGAAAUGAAGAAAAUUGGAGCUACUUGAAGGUAAAGAGAAACGGUAGAAAUAGAGAUACAAUAGAGGGCUAUUUAUGAAGUGUCCCAGGCAGCACCAUCUACACUAACAGUGAAGGAAAUGUUCUCUAUUGAACUAAACACUGUCUGUUUACAAUAAUAAUAAUAAUAAAUCUAUACAGGGACAGCUUUUUAUUUUAUUUGAUUAUUUUUUAUUGUUUUUGUUACUUUACCAAAUACGACUCCUCCAAGUCACCUUGAAGUAGAAAACUUGGGAAAAAAAAUGGCAAAGAAGUAUGGCUGGAGAUUACACAGUGGCAAUAAACCAUUCCGAUCCAAGAGCAUGACAGCAGUUGUGUUUGUAUACCAGUAGUAGGAACUGGGGUUCUGCUGUGUCCUGCCUACAUCAGUGUUACCUGCUGGGAACCAGGUGCUUUGAGACACCUCAUGAGUUACUCUUAUUUAUUCAUCUUUAUUGUCAACGUUUUUAUUUGCUCAUGCUCCAAUCUCAACCUGUGUACCAAGCAUUGAGUCAGUGUGUAAGUUAAUUGUGAAACAGAUAUAUUGACUUAAAUGUCCUACAAAUUCAGUGUCCAGUCUGUAGCAUGAACCAUGAAGAACAGAACAAACUCUGUGCAAGAGAAGUUAACUGUGAAUUUUCUACUAUUCUGAAUCCAUAUUUCAAAAACUGUAGCUUGUAGGUCUAAUAUUAGACCUAUAUAAUAAUACAUACUAAUAUUUCAGUGCAAUAUUAUUAGCAUAGUAUAACUUACAUAUAAAUUAUGGUAUAGUAUGACAUAUAGAAGUAUAAAGAAAUACAUAAAAAAUGUGUUAGAUGCUGUCUUUACCAUAUAAAAAUGUAUUAGAGCUCACACUUCAGUUCCUAACAAAUAAUGCAAUGAAAAGGAAUGGAAAUUGUUCUUGACUAGGACCAUCUGGUUCCUUAUCACAGAUAAAUGAUUGCUACAUAAUAGUAUGUUGUUUCAUUGAGGUAGAAAAUACAUGAAAUGUUUUGAGAUGGUAAAAUGUUUGAACAUAAUAAAUGAGCCAGAAGUAAAAUUAAAUCUGCAGUAUGCAUUUAUUUUCAUGGCUUAUGUCAACAAUGUGUAUAUGAAGUUAAUAUUAGCUCAUUUUCUUCAGAAAAUCAUUGCAGGUGUUUGUUUGUUUGGUUUUUUUUCUUUACCUCUUCCAACAGGAAUCAUGUUCUGUAGCUUUGAGAAACUGAGAAACAUCCCCCCUAAAAACAAUUGACCAGUUACUAUUCCCAAUAGAGGAGUGACUUCAAAAACACUAGCUUUUUAAGGAUUAUUCAUCUUUUCUAAAUUAAACUAAAUUAAUUGAUUAUCAGGACAAGUGUAUCUAGUUAUUCUUGGGCCAGAAUUGCAUUAUAGCUUAAAUCAGUCUUUGCUGCUCCUUGAUGCUUCUCCUAGAGAUAGUGGCUGCUCAUAAUAUGAUGCCCUUCUGCUUUUAUUUGCUCUUGUAAACACAGCAGUUUCCUCAGGGCUCCAUUCCUCGCAUAGGCAGCCCUGUGCUUCUGAGCACUCUGACAGUAAUUUGCUUGCAGUACUUAUGUGUGGGGUUUAAAGAUCUCAAACAGGAUUGAUAUUUUUAUCACGUUGCUGUAUCAGUACCUUCCACAGCAGUAAUGAUACCUAUCAUUACUGGCUGAUACAUGAACCCCAUCGUACACCUGAAAAGCAGCUUUAACUUGCUGCUGCUUUCAAAUCUCACCUGAACAGCUUAUUUGCUUUCAUAAUGACCAAAGUUAGAAUUGUUACAUGUUAUAAAAGCCGUCUUAAAGUACAUUUAGGAAGUUAGAAUGCUAGAAGUAAAUGCUUCAGUGUUUCUGGCCUGCUGUUGUUUUCGCAGUUGCUUGCUCCAGCUACUUAUGCAAUGAGUAUCAACCUCUCAGCACCACCAUUUUGAUGAUGCUGUCAGUACGUGCAGAAAUACACAUCACUUUGCAAGCCCUCAGCGCUACCUCGGGGGUAGAAUUAUUAUAAAACGACAGUAAUUUCUGUUUCUCAGAAACGGUACAUUUGUCUAGAAAUAGCACCUCAGGCAUAAGGAAUGUCGCAGAAUAAGACAUGGAACAGGUUUUGUUUUCCUCUGGAGUCAGUUUGGAUGUGGAGGCAGAAAUAUGUUUAUGUGUUUUUUGUUUGUUUGUUUGUUUGUUUUUAUUUUGUCCUGAGAACACUGACAGCUUUCCAUGCUUUGAGGAAAGUACAUUUUCUUAUAAAAUUAGCUUAACUAAGAGUAGUGACAGUGGUAAGAAUAACAUAUGCACACAAGCAUAGUAUCAUAGAAUAGCUUGUGUUGGAAGGGACCGCAAGGAUCAUCAAGUUCCUGCCCCCUGCCACAGACAGGGCCACCAACCUUCAGCGUAAGUAAUGUACAGAAUGGAAAUUUAUAGAGACCUUCUGAGAACUUAAGACGAGGAAUCACUAAUGUGUAGAAAUAUUAACGCGAGACGCGGUAGGAGACUACGCUCAUUGUCCCUCUGGAAAUGUAGUGGUAGGUGACACCUAGUGGCCUUCAGCAUUCAUUACAGCAGUGUGCCACAAAGCUUUUCAGUAGUGGAGUUGAAUUGAAAGGGGAAACAAUAUUCCUGGAGCUGCUGAAAGUGAUUUUUUAUUGCUCUUCUUAAAGACAUGAAAAUUUUGCAUCAUACAAGAGUUCUUUCUUUUCUUCUAUUCAAAAUGAGCAUCAUGAGGGUGGAAAGAGGGAGGAAAAGCCUUUCAGCUUCUAUGAUUUUCUGCUGGAUAUUUCUUUGAUACUCCUUGAGGAUGCAGGAUUUAGAAUUAUAAAAACACAAUUUGGGGCUAUUUUUAAUGCUAAAAAAUUCAGGUUUGUGUUUCAGUGAGAAUUCGUGUACCAAGCUAUGUUAAUGAAAAAAAAUAGCAAAGCAGUGUUUUCUGACAAGGAACAGAGUAUUUCUUGCAGUUAGCUAUUAGCAUGGUCCUUCUCCUGGCCAAGUGUCAUCACUGAAAAUGAUACAAAAUUAAUUAUGUUAAGCUUCACCUCACCAAACAACUCAGUUAUUCUUCUGUAUUAGUCUAAUCAAGUGUUUGGGAGGUUCUUUUGGGUCUCACAUUUAUUGGGAAGCUGAAGCUUGUCUUUACUGAUGCUUCCAAAUGCCAGGAAAGAAAAAUAUGAACAUUCCUUUGCUUCUUUUUGUGGUUAGACAAGGGUUAAGGAAAGACGUAUCUUAUAGUCAAGUUUUGUUCCCUAAUAAAAGUACAUUUUAGUUCUUAGCCUUACUGAAGAAAAUGAAAAUAAUAAAAUUCUACAAGCACUAUUUUCAGCCUCGGGUGCUUAUCAGAAUGCUUCUGCUUGGCCAACAGCUUAGUGGAUACAUAAUGGUUUUAUCAGAUGACUUGUGUUCAUGUUGGAAAUUCUGCCGUUUAGGGCUGUUGCUCCACUUUUUUAUUUAUUUUCAAUCUAACUCGGGAUACGUUCAUAAAUUUCCUUAUGGGUCACAUUGAAGAAUUUAUCAUAAACUCUUUGGAGUCUGAUCUUAAAGUAAGCAAGUGUUGUUCCAGUAAGUUUUUUGUUGAUUUAGUGAUAAAUCUGCUUCUUACCAUGUUAGACAUUAAAGCACAGUCAUCUCAGUGAGUUAUAACAUCUACAAGGAUAUUUGUGGGGAUGCUGGAUCAGGAAGGUUUGUCCUAGUGAGAGGCAGCUGAGGUACUGCUGUGCUUUUCAGACCUUUUCUACCUCUGGAGAAACAUCAUUUAAUAAUCCAUUUCCCCUGAAAGUAGUGGUGGUUGAUGUUCCUCUAUGGCAGAUGUGCUCAAUUGGCCAGAAUCCAUUUUAAUCUCUCGUUUACUGGUUCUGAUAAUGAAGUCUUGACCUCAGAGCAGAUGGGGUUUGCAAAGCAGUUCUGCUUACCACUAGCAGAAGCUACGGGCCAAUUUGUGCCUGAGAGUGUGGCUUUUACAUGCAGUGGAGUGGCAGAUUGGGUUGGGUGCUGUAGGAUGCUGAAGCCGGAAUUACUCUUAGACUUACAUUUAUAAACAUCACAGCAAGAUGAUGUCUGGACUAAUCUUUGCCGUAGUCUUACUGUGUAUCCUUCUAGCUACUACAUUCAGUACAUAUGUGAUCUUCCAAAAAUGCUUAAAACUGUUUAGAUGAGUUGACAACACAAGAAGGCAGUCCAUGUUGCCAUGCUUAAGUUUCUGUUUAUGUAGCUAUUACAGGAGUUCUACAUCUUUAGUAGAAUGAGUACUAACAAAUGCAUUAUUUGGAUCGCUGUGCAAAUGGUAAAUGUGGAAGGUAGUAUUGUUUGCACAUCUGUAUCUCACACUCAAGUUUCUUGAUAGGACUGAUUUAAAUGCUUCUCUGAAAAUAAUGAAGUAAUUCUGAUGUAGUAUACAGAAGGGAAUUUGAUAUAGGCAUUGAUCUGCAUUUAUUAAAUUGAGCUAAAUUUACUCUGAAGGAGCUUGUGUUAUCUUAAUCAAAAUCCAAACCAGACAUUGUUACAUAUCCGAGAGUAAACCCCACUGAACAUACAGACAGGGUGUGUCCCAGAGCAACUUCAGUGAUGCUAUCUCUUGUGCCAUACGUGAUAUCCAUCCCCAGGAGCCAGUGCUGCUGUGCUGGUACACCACAGAACUGGGUUGGUACUCAGCUCAGAGAUACAGCCACAUCACAGAUACAGUUUGUUCAGUCUCCAAGUCAACAGAGUGGCUGGUGUGAGUGCAGAGCAGAUGGGCUGCUUUGGGAUUAUAAUAAUACCUUUGGACGCUUGUGGAGGCUGAUUAUUUUACAUUUGGUGGCACAAAAGCUUUCAAGAAGAGCACCGAGGGGAUGGAAGGUUCAGAAUACCAAUUUCUGCUCCAAAUGGCCUUUUGAUAGCAUCUACUUUCCCCCAUAAGAGGAGUCCAACGUAAGUUAAAAGCUUGGAACUUCUUGACAAAUACCCUAUAUGGAACAUAGUUAAUACCAAACAUACCUAGAAUGGUUUGCAUUAGAAGAGACCUUAAAGCCCAUUCAGUUCUACCCUCUCUGCCAUGGUUGUCCAAAGCCUGGCUUUGAGCACCUCCAAGAAUAGAGCUUCCAUAACUUCUCUAGGCAGCCUAUUCAGAGCCUCAGCACCAUUAUAAAAAAUGUAUUCCCUAUGUCUGAUAAAAAAUGAUACCACUUUCAAAUUACUACUGUUGCACAGUUUCUGGAACUUACCUUAUCUCUCCUGAAAAAGAGGUAGCUAUGGACAUUAUCUUUUUUAUGAUGUGGCUGACCUGGUCAUUGUUCCAUACUUAAAGCAGUCACAUAUACUGCACUGGCAUAUAGAUGUCUUCAUCUCAGUGCCAUAUUGUAUUUGAGUGGGUGUUUGUAUGUGUGCCAUAUACACAACUUAAACAGGAACAAGUUUGGUCUUGGACACCAGGUGCAGAAAGUGGCCUCCAAUCUAAAAUCAUGAGGCUGUGGUCAAUCUUCACAACCCUUCCUAAAUUCGACAACGCCAUCUUCAUUUUCUACUUGAGUUUUUUAUGUGGUCUUAGUGCCACAUUACCAUGCAUGAGACACUGCAAACCCAUGAGGUCACUCCAGCAGCCCUAAGACCUGAGCAUCUUAAAUUCUGAACUCUCCGUAUGCUGACUCAGCUGUUGCUGCCAGAGUAAAUCUGAGCCUAAUGUUGAGGUUCCUGAUUAUUGAGUGUGUGCUAAGGGCUGACUUUCCCUGAGUCAGCAUUUCAGGGCUCAAUGCAUAGUGGAUGUAUAUAAAAGCAGUAGGUGGAAACGUGAGUUCUGCUGGCCCACCAGGCUCCAGAAGCCUCAAUAUUAACAGAAUAACUAGAGAAAAUGUUUCUUCCGCUUGUACUGGCUGUGAUGCCUGGAGUGAAAAUAAAUUAAAGACUUUGUUACAAUGUGAAAGACUUUCAAAAAUUAAUCUUACAGCAGCCCGCAUAGCACUGAGGGCUUAAAUACUUUAUUGACCAAAUUGGUGUUCACUCAGUUGCAAAACCCAGGAAGGACUUGCAUCAAUUUAUCUUUCCCAUGUAGUCAUAAAUCCUUAGGCUGGGCUGGCUCUUUGAGCAGUAAGAUUAGGCUGAUGAUCUGUGUUUACUUUUGUUUGAUGCAAGGGAGAUGAAAAACAGGUUGGGAUGUUCUGUGAAACCCGAGGUGGUCAGAAGUGCAAUCUUUGUUUUGUUAUUCAGGUAAUAGCUACAAUUUUGCCGUGUGCUGUACAUUUUCUAAAAUAAACUACGGAGUUCAAAGUUAAAAUCUAUCUACGUAAGAAGCUCCAAUCUGUGGGCCACGGUGACCAUUGUUUUCCACUUUGAUGCAGGAUGCUGGAGCACACUCUGCAGAAAUCCCAGUAGAUGGAGUAGGGCGGCAGCAGUGCUGUAUUGGUUGAGCCACAGGGCAAAAGCGCAUGAUUAGCUGUCAAAGGAAGGAAAAGAGGGGAGAGAGGAGAACACAAAGUAAAUAUAGAAGCAAAGAAGAUACUUGAAAAAAAUUGUAUUCAUUUUAUAGGAGGUUAGCCAACUAGGAGGUGUAUAGUAGUACUGCAGAAAAACAGAAUGAAAACAGAUGUUGGAAUUUAGUUUUAAGCCCUAAGUAUGUUUAAUUUUUUUCUUCAACCUUUAUUUAUCUGUGUUUUAAUGAAUCACAGUAUCAUAGGGGUUGGAAGGGACCUCUGGAGAUCCCCUCCUGCUAAUGCAGAUUCACUACAGCAAGUUGCACAGGAAAGCACCCGAGUGGGUUUGAGUAUCUCCAGAGAAGGACAUUCCAGAAUCUUUCUGGGUGGCCUGUUCCAGUGCUCUGUAACUCUCAAAGUAAAUAAAUUUUUCCUCAUGGUCAUAUGGAACUUCCUUUAUGCAGACCUCAGGGACAUCGGCUUUCCUCCAGCCCUCAAGCACCUCUCCCAUUCUCCACUAUCUUUCAAAAAUGAUAGAGGGUGGUUUGGCAGCCUCUUUUGCCAGCUCUGUUGGAUGCAUCCCGUAAAAGCCCAUAGGUUUGCAUGCAUUGAUUUUGCCUAGAUGAUCUCUGACCAGUUCCUCAUCAACUAAGUGAAAGUCUUCCUUUCCCUAGAUUCUCCCUCUUAUUUCCAGGCUCUAGGUCUCUCCAAGGGCAGUCCUAGUAGUAAAGACUGAAACAAAGAAGGGUCUCAGUAACUCCACCUUCUCAGUUGUCCUCUAUUGCCAGGGCACCCACUUCAUUCUUCAGCUGGCCCACAUUUCCCUAGUCAUCCUUUUGCUACUGAAUCAUAGAAUGGCUUGGGUUGGAAAGAACCCCCAGGAUCAUAAAGUUCCUAUCUCCCUGCUACAGGCAGGGCCACCAACUUCCAGACAUACUCAAAUAAGCUUUUCUUUUUGUCCUUCUCCUCCGUCAGCAGAUUUAAUUCCAAGUGAGUCUUAGCCUUCCUUGUGGCAUCCCUGCAUGCCCUGACAAUGUUUCUACAGUCCUCUCACAUGGCCAGACUCCCUUUCCACACUUUUGCAUAUAUUUCCUCUGUUUUCAUCAUAAUUGGUAGUAAAAACAAGUUUUUUUCUUUAUUAAAAAAUACAUUUCUGUCUUGAGAUUCUUACUUAAAGCUGAAGUAUUCUCAGUAAUUCAUUUAAGUCAGAAAUAUACUGCAAUCACAGUCAUCAUAAUUUAAUUUCAGUAGAGAUAAUUUCACUUUGACUACUCCAGAAAUACUUAAAUUACCUUAUGAGGAUAAGCUUUACUUUUAUUGCUCUUUUCUGUUGUUUUGUUGUGUUUUUAAUUUAUUUUCUUGAUGAUGAAAGAUAAACUAAGCUGCUUGGUGGUGAUAGUUCCACUGCUGCUGUCAUAUAGUCUUAUAAAAUAAUAUUGUCUCACUUCUUACUUGUAAAUGAACCCUAACUAUAAAAUAGUUUAACAGUGAAAGUAGUAAACUCCAUUUCAGAGUUUGUCUUCUUGAUCAUUUUGGAAUAUUAGGAAAAUGCCCCCCCAAAAUGUAUUUGCUCACUGCUGCAUUAUCAAUAUGAAAAUGAAGUGGGAUAAAUCAGCAGGAAGUUGUAACUGAUUUUAAGUAAGUUAUACUUUUAACUUACAAAUUAUGAAAUAAUGUAUCUUCCUCCAGCAAUAAAAUUAUUACUCUUAAAAUAAGAAAUACUUCAAGUCCCAUAAAAAUCAGUGAGACUCUUUUCAGAUGUGGGUAGGGUUUGGUGAUACUGCAUCUCAUUUCCUUUAGAGCAUCACAAAUGACAUUGAUUCCAGGAGUGCUCUGACUUUUGCCACUGAAGAUACAUGUGUUAAUAAAAAAGCAGCCGGGGCCGUGCUGGUAAUGCACUGUGGUUUACAUACAAAUUUUGUUUAAAGGAGAGUUCCUUGUUACUCCUUCUCUGAUAAUAGGUGUGAUUCCUGAAUUUCAUCUGUCCUCAGUUGCUGAUUUUCACCCUCACGCUGUGAGAAGCUGCCCUCCCUUUGCACUACACAGUGAUAUCAUUUAAAUUAAAUUUGAAUUUAAAAAAGUCGAUUAAUGAAGAUAGCUAAAUAAAAAAUAAAAAAAAUAAAAAAAUAGGAACCUUUUCCAAAAUUAGAGAGAUUUUCUUACGAAGUAUUCUGAAGCUAAACAUAUUUAUGAGUCUCAGUUCCCCAGUGUGCCGUCUGAACUUUUUACGUCUCUUAAAUUAUGCAUCUACAGCAGUCUAUCUUAAAACCGGAGAAAUGAUCAGAUGUAGGAAAUAAAAGUUUGGAGGAGGCAAAGAAAAAGUCACUCUGAUGAGUUUUGAGACGGUGACCUUCUGUUGCAGCAUCUCUGCCAGAGCCCUCUUGCAAAGCACUGGUACAGAGGCUCCUAAAUGGCAGUCUCUGGGGUGAAUCCCAGAAUAAGGCAGGAAGGGUGAUCUAUGAGCAGAGCCUGACAGCAUUGCUGCCAGGAGUCACUGGGCAUGAAAGUUCUGAAUGUAUGGAGGCAACAAAAAAGACAAGUUCAAAAUUAUGGAUAUUCUGCCUCAUUUUGAGAGGGGAGUGGAAUAGGAUGAGAAAAUAAUAUAAUGAGGAAUUACGCGUGUUUUCAUGAUGCUUGCCCUCAGUGAGAUAGAAUGGUUGUUCAUAAGGAUCUCUAAGUGUUCUCUUGUAUGGAAUAAAAAAGCAGAAGAGUAGACACUGCACUAUUGGAACUUUGGUGUCUGGGAACAGCCUUGAAAGUGUUAAUGAAUCUCUAAUUAGAAGCAGGACUUUGGUGAUAUGUGAAUCAUAUGCUGAGAAAAGCAGAUCUGAGCAAAUGAAAUGCCUCCAAAUAUGAAGGACUGGGAGCUAUACAUGGAACUUGAGUGCAGGAUGACUUCAUCUCGACAUCUACCAUGCAAUAAAAGUAGUAGGUUGGGGAAAAAGAAAAAAAAACAACCCACAGGUGAAACUUCGUUAUGAAAGCAAGUAAGUCAUGAAAAUACAAAGCAAAGUUAGGUGCCACUGUAUGUGUUUCAGAGAGAACCCAGCACAGAGAUAGACUGGAUAACUCAGUCUCUGCUUCCCAUUUAGUUGUUCCUGGAAGCAUAAUGAGACAGAGAAUAAGUAGGUGGAAAGGGUCUCUGAAGGUCUCUGGUCUGACCCUUUGUCAUCUUGGGUCAGGGUGCUCAGGGUCUUAUCUGGGCAAGUUUUGAAUGCCCUUGGGGAUGAAAAUUCAAGAAGAAGAGAGAAAGAGCAAUACCAGAAUGACAAAAAUAGAGAAAAUAGAAGUUAUAAAAAGAAAACAGAACCAGUUAAGAGCUAAUGAGUUUGUGCUGGCAGCCUAAUACAGGAAAGGAGACAAGAAAGUGAGAUGGAGUUGAUGCCAUUGAAAAGUCAUAUACAUUGGGAAAAACAGCAGCUGAGACUGCAGUGAGCCAGAAACCACAUGCAGCACCUGGACAUCAAGGGUUCCAGAGCAGAUGAGCCAGAGUAUAGGAGAAACAUACAGAAGUAUGGUACUACAGUAGUAACAGAGGGGGUGAUGUUAGAGCCAGGCACGCAUGGAAAAGCUUGGUGCAAGUAAGUCAAAUAAAGCUGCAUAGAAGCAAUAGGGAGAUCUGCUAGGUGGAGAAAAAUCAUCAAAGUGAAGUCAAGUCCCUUCCAACCAUGAAAAAAUAAACCAGAAUUAAUUCUUACUUGAGAACCACUUGAGUGCAUUUGAAAACCAAUGAAUUGAAGUAUGAUGGCAGUCAAUAACAUAUCUUUGUGCUGAUAACCCCAUAACCUCGCAGGUCAGGAAAUGCUUGCAUGGAAGGAAUAUUAACAGUAGAAAUGGAUUACAUCAGGUGCGGCAACAUACACAGGGCUACGGGGAAUGAACAUGAGUUUCAAGAUAUAGAUAACAGAUAAAAAAGGUCAUUGGGAUAUAUACAUAAUUGCAAUUUAGCUGUAGAUGCAGCAUUUCAUGGUGCAUUAUAUAUUCUCAGCAUUUACGCCAGUGUUGAUGUUGACAGUCUAGUUGUAGAAGCGCAAAAUUACCCAGCACAAGGUGUUCAAUGAAUAAAUGAACAAUAACACAUGAUUUACAGUAAAAUAGGAAAAACAAAAUUUGCAGUCUAUUGCUAUAAAGUGUAGACCUUGCAUCUGUCCAGCAAAGCUCACAUUUGAUGUCCGUGAAGUGGCAGAACCAACUGUGGCAUACUGAAGCAGCCCGGGGUUCAUAGCCAGCAUUUUCAGUUGGAGCAUAUGUUUUCAGCACCUUUCUUCUGAUUUAAUUUUUAAUUUUUUUUAAAUUUCCAUUUUCAGACAGCUUUAGUUAUUUGGUACUGUUGAGGUGCUCUGCAUUCCCAGAAAUCAGAGGCAGCUUGCCUUAAACUCUACAAUCAAGCAUUUGAAGCAUCUUGGUAUUCAUAUAUUCCUUUUGGCCUAUGUGAGCUCAGGAAAGGCUCAGAGAAGGCAGCGGUGGAACGUGGCAUUUCUACUUGUCAUUUUGCUCCUCUAGGGUUUUACCUUAAGGAGAGUUAUGUCAAUGCAAGCAGUCUCACUGAGUCCUACAAUUUAGACACAUGACAAUUCAAGCACACUCCAGCUCCUGUGAAACUACAUGAGAAACGAAUAAGAAAGAAGACAGAUUACUAUUACUAGUGUAUACCCCAUCUAUUUUCUAUCUGGCAUACAUAUGGAUAUAUUACAGGCUGUUCUAUUUGUUUCUUUUGUUGUGUCAUUUUUGUUUUGUUUUGUUUUAAUUAUUUUAUUUUAUUUUAAUAUGCCUAGAGCAAAUGGAAAAUUGAAAUGUGAACAAAAGAUUUUCUACACCACUGAUGUCUGAAAAAUACUUUAUUUCUGAACUUCCCGGUGUGAAAUCAUUAUCAGGGAAGAUCGUUUGUGUGUCGAAAACUGUCAUGCUUGAUAUAGAGAAUAGCUUUUGCCACCUCCUUCCUUUUACUUGGUGUGAAUGUUGAGCAGAAGAUAGCUGACAUAAAGUUAUGAUAUUAUCAGCAUCACUUAAUUUAUUGCACUUAAUUUACGUCAUUAAUAUUUUUACUGCAUUUUGAUACUACUGCAUAUAGAAAAAAUGUAGUGGUAGAUUCAUCCAGUUCAACUUAAGCAUCCCUGCAUGUCCCAGGGAUUCAAUGCAUUCUCAUUUUGGUGUUAAACUGGAUUAAAUAGUUAAGUUUUCUUGCUAUUCUAGUACCUCUCCAGCUGGCAAGGUGUAGAAUAAUUUAUGACUCAGAGUUUUCCAGUUUUUAAGAUCACAUUUCUACAGUCUGACCAAACGAUAUGCUAGAAAGAAAAAUGGUGUGUUGACCAGAGGACCGGUAUUUGAUUUCAAGCCUUGAUGCACCAAUACUUCAGUAGGAAAUGAUCUUGAUAGGAUGACAUUUUGCAAUUUAUCCUCAGAGAGCAUGAAGAUUGUAAAUUACCAUACGUGGUGUUUACCAUUGUUUCCCACCAGUAAGCCUUGGGAAUGAAGUGCAUUUAUGAUAUUUUAUUGAUUGAUUUACUGAAGGUCACAUGUAGGAAGAGCCUGUUUUUUUUUUUUUUUUUCCCUGCAAUUGCCAUAGAUAUUAAUGAAUGCUUUAAAAGAUCACUGGCAUAAUACAUACGAUACUUAUAAGCAUGCUGUAUUAUCAUCCAAAUUUUCAGAGUUCCAAAAAUUAUGGAUGUCAGAUUAUUCUGCAUUUUUUGUAAACGUUUUCAGUAAGUGUGUAUUUCAUAAACUUAAUGGUAUCUGGGUAUCAGGAGUAUGUAAUUUCACUUGAACUUAUGUUAAGUGGUUAAGAACUGAAGGUCAUUUAUUUGAAAAUCUCUUUUUCUUUUAAUUUUCACCACAAUCGUUGUAGUUUAUGAACUAAAUGUCAUGGCUUGUUAACGAUGAUAAAAAUUAUGUAAUUUAAAACAAGGUAUGCAUUUUUUCACCAAGUUCCUAAUAGUCAGGAACUUUAUAGCAGGAAGUUCGUCUUAACCCUUAAAACUGAAUUUAUUUGAAGAGGUCAGACCGGUUUCUUGGAUUAGUCAUCUCUAAUUAAUUUAUAACUACACUAUUCCUUCUUAGAAGAAGAAGAAAAAUUCACUUUGUCUCCCUAAUCAUUAUUACGAAGACAUUUUAGAAUAUCAGGUUGGAUAUUAGGAAAAAUUUAUUCUCAGAAAGAGUAAUGAUGCACUGGCACAGGCUGCCCAGGGAGUGGUGAAGUCACUGUCCCUGGAGGUAUUAAUGGGCAUGGUGGGGAUGUGUUUGGAGUUGGGCUUGGUGAUCUUAGAGGUCUUACCAACCUUCACGAUUCUGUGAUUCUAAUACAGUUUUGUUCUUAGGAUUCUGAAAGGAAGAGCAUUCCUUAAACCUUUAAAUUCUUGCAGUGAAUUUUACUAUUGAAUUUUACAAUUGACUAUUUAACUCAUUUCUUAAUUCAAUUACAUUCUUUUCAAAUGGAUCGGUGCUAAUUGAUUAAUUUCCUUCCACAAAUACAUAAAUGAUAUAUUUUAUUUGGUAAUAAAACAAAACCACUAGAAAACUGUUUGAGAUGAAAUUGUAUUUACAGUGAGCUAUAGGCAGGGUCCUGAUGUGCCAUGAAGAAUUUAGCAACUACUCUAGGUGGGUAAAAAGGCCUCCCUUGCAAACAAAGUACUCCCAUUAGUAUUUAGAGUCGUUAGCUUUCUUGUUUUUUCUUUAUUUCUUUCUCACACUUUUGAAGCACCUUCUGGGAAAUAUUUAUGUGGAAUUACGGGGUGAGAAAAGAUCCAGUGAAGAGUGAGAAUGGUAGUGAGAAUGGAAAAGAAAACAUGAGCGUGGGUGAAGUGUGGAUGUGAAUAAGUAACUGUGCAUCUGGUUCAGCAUCACUCAAUCUUUAUCAGCCCAAUUAGUGAUCAUCUCUGUGGCAUACACCAGUACACCACAGGGUGUGUGGUUGCUAGACUGUACACUUUAUAUUGAAUUUUCUCUUCCGCUAAUUGUUUAUUGUGCUGUUUAACCUAAACAUGGCUACUAGUGUCUGUGUUUUAUUAGGGCUUUGUUAAACACUUUGAAACACCUCUGAGUACGGGCAAAGAACUUCUCUCUGCAGUCUUCAACACAUUCCUUAGAUUUCUGUAAUUCCUUUAAAGAAUGGCAUUGGUAUCACUGAUGUAUCAGGAUGGACGUCCUUCUCAGCAGCCUUCAAAAUCAGUUUCCAGGUUAAAUUUCCCUUAAGUCACUUUUUAUUCAUACAGAGGAUAUGUAUUUCUCUGAGCAUUUCAUCCACAUCUGGUUAUCACUGUUAUGCUUAAAAUCAGACAUUUGCUCAUCCUAAAUCAAUUAUUUCUAGUAGGUAUAAAACUGAAAUCCCUUUGAUAUCUGACACCAGAGUUAAAUGGAAAAGAGAGGUGUGGGUUGAAGGACUGUUAAGAGCAUUUUGAAACAGUUAAAUUGGAUUCUGUUUUGGUUAUAUGUCUCAUCUGUAUCUCAGUUCAGUUACCACUUUGUCAGUUACCACCUUAGAAGUUCUCUUGGUUUUAAACUAAAAGAAAGGAAAUUUAGGUAAGAUGGCAGGGGGAAAUCUGUCACUCAGAGAAUGGUGAGGCCUUGGCCCUGCCAAUCAAAGGGCUGUUGGUGACCCAUCCCUGGAGGUGCUCAGAGCCAGGUUAGAUGGGGCCCUGGGCAGUCUGAUUUGGUGGGACGCAACCAGCCCACAGCAAGGAGGUUGGGACUGGAUGGUCUUUGAGGUCCCUUCCAACCUAAUUCUAACCUCAUUCUAUGAUUCUGAAAGGUUUUUUCUUGUUUAUACUGUUAAAAAUGUCUAGGCUGUGAAAUGCAUACACCGUAUGAAGAAAACACUCAGCAAAUGGUAGAAAGUUGCAAAGUACGGGAAACCCUUAUUUUCUUCUCUCAGCUCUCUAGUCUGCUUUUCCCAGAAUAUGUUCCUGCUGUGAUCUUCUCCCUCCUUUCCAGAUGCUUAGAUUCAGCUUUAAAGAAAGCAUAGGAGCUGAAAGGCCAUUACUGUUCAUAAUGUACUGUCCCUACAUCUCAGCCACGAGAGCUUUCAGCAUUGACAAUCUGAAUAGUGUAGUGAAUGUAUCCAAGAAUUUGCUGCCUGCUUAGUCUAGUAAUUAAGAAUUGUAGUUAUCUGGGCUUAUAUUAAC